UUCCCACUAAAUAUUUUUCUGAAAUUUCAUUUGACCUCUUUAAUGAUUUAAAUGAGAUGUUUGAUAUAUGGCAAUGAGGCGGCAACACAACAAUAUAAUGCAGCAAAAAACAUAUAAAGGACAUAUCUGUUUCUGUAAAGGAAAUAAUUAUUUCACUGUUGAAAAUAUGAGAUGAUAAAUUCAAUGUACCUUAAAACCAAUAUGUCGUAGGAUUGUUUUAGCUUUAUAUGUUGAUCAUAAAAUCAUUUUUGUAAUAUUUUUGUCUCACACUUAAAAAGUAAUAGACCUCCAAUUCAGUAUUGUAUAGAUUAUAAAGUGUAAAUUUGUUAUAUUCCCCAAUAAUAGGGUAUGGUAUUUCUUUUGUCCUAUUUUUUCACACUGCCAAAAUUGAAUUUAAGUUAUCGUUAAAAAUGAAAUUUGUUGUAAUUAAUUAACAUUAUUUGUUAUUCUGCACUAUGAAUAGAAAAAGUGUUUGUAAAUAUAGAAUGUCAAAAAAGGUAGUGAUUUAAAUAGGUUGACUUUAAACUGCCAUUGUUUAGUAUAGUAAUAGUUCCUAUAAUUACACUAGUUACUUGUACUACACUGUGUCAGUGUAUUCAGUUUUUUUAAUUUGUUUAAGUAAACUAGUCAUUCUGGGCAUUUUUGUUUAUUUUUAAUCAUGUUUUGCAAACUUUCCUUUAUUAGUUAUCAGAAGUUUUUCACAGCAAAUUCUACACACCAAAGCACUGAACUUUUCAGGUUUCUUAAAUUCAAACUACCACCACCAGAAGUGUUCUUAAAUUUUCCAGAAUCUUGCAAUAUCUGCAGGUGUAAAAUGAAUAAAAUAACUGUAUGAAUGAGUAGGAACAGGGUAACAUUCAUGUCAUGAUGUGUAUAUAUUUCAUUCACAUCAUAAUUUAAAAAAAAUCAGAAAUUUAUGCACAAGAUUUUAAAAUUUAUUUGUCAAUAUUAUUUUGAUUUAAAGUUUAGUUAUAAUAAGACAAACAGUACCGAUUCAUUUUUAUAGAUUUAUUUCUUUGAUUUAAUACAAUUAUUAGAAAUUUGUGUUUACUGUAGACAUUUUAAUUUUUAUUGAGAUUGCCCCCAAGUAUUUUUCAGAUGUAUGACAUGCAUUCAGUGUGAAUGUUGUCAUCUGUAAAAUAAAAUGUCCUUGUUUUGUGCACUGAUAUCUAACUUGUUGAAUAAAAUGAUUCUUCCGUUCUGGCUUAUAUAUAAGGAAAAGACUGUAGCCUAUGUCAUAGUGGACACAUUAGCACAUCUAACAUUAUUUUCCGAUUCUCAGUUUACUUUAAGAUUCCUCCAUAAGUGUUCAUUGUAAGUAUUUCACUUGUCAGUCAUCUUUAUUUAUUGUCAUAAUGUGUAGUUUUAGUUAUUUAUGGAUCUGUGUAUUGUAUUUUUUCCUUAUUUAAUCUGUAAUAAAAUGAAAAACAUAAC
rnacentral:lncRNA from 1 species